rnacentral:rRNA from 1 species
CGGAGGGGCUAGCGUUGUUCGGAAUUACUGGGCGUAAAGCGCACGUAGGCGGAUCGGAAAGUUGGGGUGAAAUCCCGGGGCUCAACCUCGGAACUGCCUUCAAAACUACUGGUCUGGAGUUCGAGAGAGGUGAGUGGAAUUCCGAGUGUAGAGGUGAAAUUCGUAGAUAUUCGGAGGAACACCAGUGGCGAAGGCGGCUCACUGGCUCGAUACUGACGCUGAGGUGCGAAAGCGUGGGGAGCAAACAGGAUU